rnacentral:rRNA from 1 species
GACGAACGCUGGCGGCGUGCCUAAUACAUGCAAGUCGAACGCAGUGGGGACGGGUGAGUAACACGUGGGUAACCGCCCAUCAGAGGGGAUAACACUUGGCAACAGGUGCUAAACCGAUACUGAUGGAUGGACCCGCGGUGCAUUAGCUAGUGGGUGAGGUAACGGCGCACAAAGGCCACGAUGCAUAACCGGUCUGAGAGGGUGAUCAGCCACACUGGGACUGAGAAACGGCCCAGACUCCUACGGGAGGCAGCAGUAGGGAAUCUUGGGCAAUGGACGAAAGUCUGACCGAGCCAUGCCGCGUGAGUGAAGAAGGUUUUCGGAUCGUAAAACACUGUUGUUAGAGAAGCGGUAUCUAACCAGAAAGCCCCGGCUAACUACGUGCCAGCAGCCGCGGUAAUUC